rnacentral:lncRNA from 14 species
AUGAGAGAGAGAAGAUCAGCCAAGAGCCUGACCUCAGGUGAAUAAGUCCUCAAAGGUCUAGCACCUUAGAUGUGUCAUUAAAGAAGGAGAUGCGUCUUGGGACAGAGUCUUCUCUCUGGUACUUCAGGAAGGCCAGACCUUGGAAGUCAGCCAAGAAAAGGGGAUCAGUUGUUGAAGCGCCCAACGUGCUCAGGUUCAAGAGAAUAAGAAAGCAGAGACCACAGUGGCCCACCUGGUUUGCAUAAUGGUCC